AUGGAAUCGGCGCGUGCCGGAUCGGAGAGGGCCGGCACUAUGGAUUCGCCGGAGCCAAGAAUCGAGGUCGAACAGAAACCUGUUCUUGCUAGUAACACUAAAGAGCAGACCAUUCCUGGGAAGGAUGAGAAAACUGUUAAACCCACUAUUUCACUUGAUUCAAGUGUUAUCAAUCUACCAAGUGACGGACAAGCCCAGGCUGGCACAUCCAACAUAGGUGGGGAACAUAAUGUUGUGUAUCCACAACACAUGUAUUCCUCUCAGGCACAGCCAUUCUAUUACCAAGGUUCAGGAUAUGAGAAUCCUCCAAAUGAAUGGGAUGUAUAUCCUCCUUAUGCGGAAGGAUUGGAAGCGGGUCCAGCGGUUGUGUACAAUGAGGACCCUUCAAUGAUGUACCAUGGUGGCUAUGGCUAUGACCCUUAUGCUCAUUAUUCUCCUAUCUCGACGCCGGUACCGGCUGGUGUUAGUGGAGAUGGUCAGCUCUACUCUCCUCAGCAGUUCUCCUUCUCGGCUCCUUACUACCAGCAACCAGUACAACCUGGCAUGCCGUAUUUAAGCUCUCCUACUCCAAUAUCACAGGGUGAGACAAUGAUGCCAAUUGACCCAACACAAGGAGCUUUUAUGGCUGACACUCUGAGCCCAAACAGCUUCCUUUUUGGACCAAGACCGGAAUGGUUUAGAUCGUCAGAAGGAACUGGUUCAUUUCCAUCACCUGCAGCUUCACCUCAACCAUUUGGUGGUGUUUCAGGGCCGUUUGGACAAAGCAACUUUCCUAUGGCUUCUGGGAUGAUGUCCCCUCAGCAGAAGUCUUUCUUUGGUUUUGGAACCCCCGGUGACUCGUAUGGAAGAGGCUUCUCUCAUAGUGGUGGUUUCCCACAGGCCACUAACUACGGGGGUCCUUUCCCUGGCUAUGGCAUGAAUGGCAGAAGUUUUAUUCCAAUUGAUAAAGGGCGCAGGAGAGGAAGGGGUAAUUCUUUGUUAUGCAGCUGUGAUGGUCCACUUGACUUCCUCAAUGAGCAAAGCCGGGGUCCACGUGCCACCAGGCCUAAGAAGCAAGCAGAGGAUGAUAGUAAAGAUGAGAAGCCUUCUGUUGGACUUAACCAGGAGCCAUACAAUAGGGCUGACUUUGUUACCGAGUACAAAAAUGCUAGAUUUUUUAUCAUAAAAUCAUACAGCGAAGAUAAUGUGCACAAGAGCAUCAAAUAUGGUGUUUGGGCUAGCACCACAAAUGGAAACAAGAAACUAGACGCAGCCUAUCGUGAAGUGAAGGACAAGGAAGAACAUUGUCCCAUUUUUCUGUUGUUUUCGGUGAAUGCUAGUGCACAGUUCUGCGGUGUUGCGGAGAUGACCGGCCCAGUGAAUUUCGAGAAGAGUGUGGACUACUGGCAGCAAGAUAAGUGGACUGGCCAGUUCCCUGUUAAGUGGCACAUAGUGAAGGAUGUUCCAAAUAAUCUCUUCCGCCAUAUAAUUCUUGAGAACAAUGAGAACAAGCCUGUAACCAACAGCCGGGACACACAGGAGGUGAAACUGGAACAAGGACUGGAGAUGCUGAAAAUCUUCAAGGACCAUGAGGAUAAUGUGUCAAUCCUUGAUGACUUUGACUUUUACGAGGAACGUGAGAAGGCCCUGCUGGAGAAUAAGGCGAGGCUGCAUCAGCAACAACAGAUUUCCAGCUCCAGUGUUUCUGAGCCCAAGAAGCCGUCGACAGUGCCCACUGACCUGGUGGGUCAUAUCACCAAUAGUCCUAGCGUUGUUGAGCCGAAGAAGCCCUCGACCAUACCCACUGACGUGGUGGGUCAUAUCACCAAGACCUUCGCACAGGCCGUGCGGCUUGGCGAGGCCAAGAGUGUGAGCCCUUCCGCCGAUAAAGUCCCCGCUGGAGAUUCAUCUGCUGCUGCUAAGCCUGUUGAAGUGAAAGAGAGCAGUUGA
rnacentral:rRNA from 1 species